rnacentral:tRNA from 1 species
GCCUUCGUGGCCUAAUGGAUAAGGCGUCGGCCUCCUAAGCCGAAGAUUGCGGGUUCGACUCCCGUCGAAGGUA